rnacentral:lncRNA from 1 species
CAACACUAUUCGCCCAAUCAGAAGGUAAAUUUCAAGGACAAAAUUUUAAUUAAGGUGUGGGGGAUGUAGAACCCCAAAUAAUUCUAGACACCUUAGUGGCACUAAGACAUGAAUAUUGGAUGACUAAAGUAUACUUCAGAUUUUUAGUCUCAUUUGAAACCCAUUUUCGACAUAGGAAACAUUCGAUUUGGAAAAUGAUAUCUCAAUAAAAGUUGUAGCUCUUUGAG